UGGGCAACCUGCCCCAGACACAGGGAUAACCCCGGGAAACCGGGGCUAAUACCGGAUACUCCGGUCGAGCCGCAUGACUCGAUUGGGAAAGCUCCGACGGUCUGGGAUGGGCCCGCGGCCUAUCAGCUUGUUGGUGGGGUAACGGCCUACCAAGGCGACGACGGGUAGCUGGUCUGAGAGGACGACCAGCCACACUGGAACUGAGAUACGGUCCAGACUCCUACGGGA
rnacentral:rRNA from 1 species